rnacentral:rRNA from 1 species
AUUGAACGCUAGCGGGAUGCCUAACACAUGCAAGUCGAACGGAGUGGCGGACGGGUGAGUAAUGUAUAGGAACGUGCCCGGUAGCGGGGGAUAACGACGCGAAAGGGUAGCUAAUACCGCAUACUAUUAGAGCGGCCGAGAUCGGAUUAGCUAGGUGGUGGGGUAAAGGCCUACCAAGGCGACGAUCCGUAGCUGGUUUGAGAGGACGACCAGUCACACUGGAACUGAGACACGGUCCAGACUCCUACGGGAGGCAGCAGUGGGGAAUUUUGGACAAUGGGCGAAACCCUGAUCCAGCCAUGCCGCGUGUGCGAAGAAGGUCUUCGGGUUGUAAAGCACUUUUAGCUGGGAAGCGGUACCUGCAGAAUAAGCACCGGCUAACUACGUGCCAGCAGCCGCGGUAAUUC